CGCAUCUGUGCAUGCAGCAUAUCAAUAAGCGGAGGAAAAGAAACUAACAAGGAUUCCCCUUAGUAACGGCGAGUGAAGCGGGAAGAGCUCAAAUUUGAAAUCUUCAAGGGUUUACCUUUACGAAUUGUAGUUUAAAGAAGUGUUUUCUGUUGAGGUUUUGGUAAAAGUUCUUUGGAAUAGGACAUCAUAGAGGGUGAGAAUCCCGUAUUUGACCUUUACUUUCAACUUUGUGAUACACUUUCAAAGAGUCGGAUUGUUUGGGAAUGCAGUCCAAAAUGGGUGGUAAAUUUCAUCUAAAGCUAAAUAUUGGCGAGAGACCGAUAGCGAACAAGUACCGUGAGGGAAAGAUGAAAAGAACUCUUGAAAAGAGAGUUAAACAGUACGUGAAAUUGUCAAAGGGAAGCGUUUGACACCAGUGUUGUUUUUCUGAAAAUCAAUUAAAGAACUGUUUAUGCUAAGCUGUUUAGACUUUAUCAGCUAAUCUGUUUAGUUUUGAGCUUUUCUUUAAUGCACUUUUCAGUUAACAAGUCAACAUCAAUUUCUUUUGCUGUAAAAAAGCUUGAGGAAGGUGGCUUGAGAUUCGUCUUAAGUGUUUAUAGCCUCUUGCCUAUGCAGUCGGAGAGAUUGAGGUCUGCAGCGUAGAUCCUUCGGGGCUAAAUGCAUUUGUGCUAAGUUAUAGCAUUCUAUAGACAACUUGUUGACUAUGAUUUGUCUUGUAGCUUACUCGCUUAUGUUAUUUUACCUACGCUUAGGAUGUUGAUAUGCAUGACUGAUAU
rnacentral:rRNA from 1 species